rnacentral:rRNA from 1 species
GAUGAACGCUGGCGGCGUGCUUAACACAUGCAAGUCGAACGAUGAAGCCCAGCUUGGUGGGUGGAUUAGUGGCGAACGGGUGAGUAACACGUGAGUAACCUGCCCUUAACUCUGGGAUAAGCCUGGGAAACUGGGUCUAAUACCGGAUAGGAGCGCCUACCGCAUGGUGGGUGUUGGAAAGAUUUAUCGGUUUUGGAUGGACUCGCGGCCUAUCAGCUUGUUGGUGAGGUAAUGGCUCACCAAGGCGACGACGGGUAGCCGGCCUGAGAGGGUGACCGGCCACACUGGGACUGAGACACGGCCCAGACUCCUACGGGAGGCAGCAGUGGGGAAUAUUGCACAAUGGGCGAAAGCCUGAUGCAGCGACGCCGCGUGAGGGAUGACGGCCUUCGGGUUGUAAACCUCUUUCAGUAGGGAAGAAGCGAAAGUGACGGUACCUGCAGAAGAAGCACCGGCUAACUACGUG